rnacentral:rRNA from 1 species
AAGUGAAGGGUUUGAUCCUGGCUCAGAGCGAACGCUAGCGGCGUGGAUUAGGCAUGCAAGUCGAGCGCGAGUUCCCCGCAAGGGGAACUCGAGCGGCAAAAGGGUGAGUAAUACAUGGCCAACCUACCCUCCAGGCCGGAAUAACCACGGGAAACUGUGGCUAAUGCCGGAUGGCCUCGCGGGGGCAAUGCUCCUGCGAGUAAAGGUAGGCCGCAAGGCCCUCCGCUGAAGGAAGGGGCCAUGGGCUAUCAGCUAGUUGGCGGGGUAACGGCCCACCAAGGCGAAGACGGCUAGGCGGUCUGAGAGGACGACCGCCCACAUCGGGACUGAGACACUGCCCGGACUCCUACGGGAGGCUGCAGUCGAGAAUCUUCCGCAAUGGGCGAAAGCCUGACGGAGCGACGCCGCGUGAGGGACGAAAGCCUUAGGGUUGUAAACCUCUUUCGCCCGUUCAGAAUGUCUGUGGGUUAACAGCCCACAGAUUGACAAAGGCGGGUAAAGAAGCACCGGCUAACUACGUGCCAGCAGCCGCGGUAACACGUAGGGUGCAAGCGUUGCUCGGAAUCACUGGGCGUAAAGGGCGUGUAGGCGGCUGUGCAAGUCGCGUGUGAAAGCCCCCGGCUUAACCGGGGAAUUGCGCGCGAAACUGUGCGGCUCGAGGACGGUAGGGGACAGUGGAACUCCAGGUGGAGCGGUGAAAUGCGUAGAGAUCUGGAGGAACGCCGGAGGCGAAAGCGACUGUCUGGGCCGAUCCUGACGCUGAGGCGCGAAAGCUAGGGGAGCAAACGGGAUUAGAUACCCCGGUAGUCCUAGCCGUAAACGAUGGGCACUAGCUUGGGGAGACUUCGGUCUUCCCUUGCGGAGCUAACGCGUUAAGUGCCCCGCCUGGGGAGUAUGCGCGCAAGCGUAAAACUCAAAGGAAUUGACGGGGGCUCACACAAGCGGUGGAACAUGUGGUUCAAUUCGAAGCAACGCGAAGAACCUUACCCGGGUUUGACAUGCACGGAUUAGUCUCCCGAAACGGAGAUGACGCUCUUCGGAGUGGAACGUGCACAGGUGUUGCAUGGCUGUCGUCAGCUCGUGUCGUGAGAUGUCGGGUUAAGUCCCUGAACGAGCGAAACCCUUGCCGCUAGUUGCCAGCACGUAAUGGUGGGAACUCUAGCGGGACUGCCGUGGUUAACACGGAGGAAGGUGGGGAUGACGUCAAGUCAUCAUGGCCCUUAUGCCCGGGGCUACACACGUGUUACAAUGGUGGGUACAAAGGGUUCCGAGGCCGCAAGGCGGAGGUAAUCCCAAAAACCUGCCCCAGUUCAGAUUGGAGGCUGCAACUCGUCUCCAUGAAGCCGGAAUCGCUAGUAAUCGCGGAUCAGCCACGCCGCGGUGAAUAUGUUCCUGAGCCUUGUACACACCGCCCGUCAAGCCACGAAAGCCGGGAGUGCCCGAAGUCGUCAGCUCAACCGCAAGGAGACCUGACGCCCACGGCAAGCUCGGUGAUCGGGACUAAGUCGUAACAAGGUAGCCGUAGGGGAACCUGCGGCUGGAUCACCUCCUUUCCAGA